GAUGAACGCUGGCGGCGUGCCUAAUACAUGCAAGUCGAGCGAACAGACGAGGAGCUUGCUCCUCUGACGUUAGCGGCGGACGGGUGAGUAACACGUGGAUAACCUACCUAUAAGACUGGGAUAACUUCGGGAAACCGGAGCUAAUACCGGAUAAUAUAUUGAACUGCAUGGUUCAAGAGUGAAAGACGGUUUUGCUGUCACUUAUAGAUGGCUCCGCGCCGCAUUAGCUAGUUGGUAAGGUAACGGUCUACCAAGGCAACGAUGCGUAGCCGAGCUGAGAGAGUAAUCGGCCACACUGUAACGUAGACACGGUCCAGACUCCUACGGGAGGCAGCAGUAUGGAAUCUUCCGCAAUGGGCGAAAGCCUGACGGAGCAACGCCGCGUGAGUGAUGAAGGUCUUCGGAUCGUAAAACUCUGUUAUUAGGGAAGAACAAAUGUGUAAGUAACUAUGCACGUCUUGACGGUACCUAAUCAGAAAGCCACGGCUAACUACGUG
rnacentral:rRNA from 1 species